rnacentral:rRNA from 1 species
GACGUAGGGUGCAAGCGUUGUCCGGAUUUACUGGGUUUAAAGGGUGCGUAGGUGGGUAAGUAAGUCAGUGGUGAAAUCUUCGAGCUUAACUCGGAAACUGCCAUUGAUACUGCGGUGCUUGAGGACUGGAGAGGAGACUGGAAUUCACGGUGUAGCAGUGAAAUGCGUAGAUAUCGUGAGGAAGACCAGUGGCGAAGGCGGGUCUCUGGACAGUUCCUGACACUGAGGCACGAAGGCCAGGGGAGCAAACGGG